rnacentral:rRNA from 1 species
UCAACGCGUUGGGAGCUCUCCCAUAUGGUCGACCUGCAGGCGGCCGCACUAGUGAUUGGUUACCUUGUUACGACUUCACCCCAGUCAUGAACCACACCGUGGUGAUCGCCCUCUUGCGUUAGGCUAACCACUUCUGGUGCAGUCCACUCCCAUGGUGUGACGGGCGGUGUGUACAAGGCCCGGGAACGUAUUCACCGUAGCAUUCUGAUCUACGAUUACUAGCGAUUCCGACUUCACGGAGUCGAGUUGCAGACUCCGAUCCGGACUGAGAUCGGCUUUUCGGGAUUGGCUCACUCUCGCGAGUUGGCAACCCUUUGUACCGACCAUUGUAGCACGUGUGUAGCCCUACUCGUAAGGGCCAUGAUGACUUGACGUCGUCCCCACCUUCCUCCGGUUUGUCACCGGCAGUCUCCUUAGAGUUCCCGCCAUUACGCGCUGGCAAAUAAGGACAAGGGUUGCGCUCGUUACGGGACUUAACCCAACAUUUCACAACACGAGCUGACGACAGCCAUGCAGCACCUGUCUCUGCGUUCCCGAAGGCACUAAGGUAUCUCUACCGAAUUCGCAGGAUGUCAAGAGUAGGUAAGGUUCUUCGCGUUGCAUCGAAUUAAACCACAUGCUCCACCGCUUGUGCGGGCCCCCGUCAAUUCAUUUGAGUUUUAACCUUGCGGCCGUACUCCCCAGGCGGUCGACUUAUCGCGUUAACUUCGCCACAAAGUGCGCUAGGCACCCAACGGCUGGUCGACAUCGUUUACGGCGUGGACUACCAGGGUAUCUAAUCCUGUUUGCUACCCACGCUUUCGCACCUCAGUGUCAGUGUCAGUCCAGAAGGCCGCCUUCGCCACUGGUAUUCCUCCCGAUCUCUACGCAUUUCACCGCUACACCGGGAAUUCUACCUUCCUCUCCUGCACUCUAGCUUGACAGUUCCGGAUGCCGUUCCCAGGUUGAGCCCGGGGCUUUCACAACCGGCUUAUCAAGCCACCUACGCGCGCUUUACGCCCAGUAAUUCCGAUUAACGCUUGCACCCUCCGUAUUACCGCGGCUGCUGGCACGGAGUUAGCCGGUGCUUCUUCUGCGAGUGAUGUCUUUCCUAGCGGGUAUUAACCGCUAGGCGUUCUUCCUCGCUGAAAGUGCUUUACAACCCGAGGGCCUUCUUCACACACGCGGCAUGGCUGGAUCAGGGUUGCCCCCAUUGUCCAAUAUUCCCCACUGCUGCCUCCCGUAGGAGUUCGGGCCGUGUCUCAGUCCCGAUGUGGCUGAUCAUCCUCUCAGACCAGCUACGGAUCGUGGCCUUGGUGAGCCGUUACCUCACCAACUAGCUAAUCCGACAUAGGCUCAUCCGAUAGCGGGAGCCGAAGCCCCCUUUCUCCCGUAGGACGUAUGCGGUAUUAGCCUGGGUUUCCCCAGGUUAUCCCCCACUAUCGGGCAGAUUCCUAUGCAUUACUCACCCGUCCGCCGCUCGUCAGCAUCCAGCAAGCUGGAUCUGUUACCGCUCGACUUGCAUGUGUUAGGCCUGCCGCCAGCGUUCAAUCUGAGCCAGGAUCAAACUCUAAUCCCGCGGCCAUGGCGGCCGGGAGCAUGCGA